rnacentral:tRNA from 1 species
GCCUGGCUGGCUCAGUCAGUGAGCGUGUGACUCUUGAUCUCAGAGUCGUGAGUUCAAGCCCCACUUUGGGUG